UUGAUUAGUCAAGAAACUUGCAACUGUCUUUACAACAUAAACCCUGAUCCUGAUGAGCCACACGUUAUCCAGUUGGACAAGGUGUCUGCUGCCUUUGUACAAGGUGGUAAAGAUGCCUGCCAGCAUGUUACCUAGACCAGUGUGCUACUGCAGUAAAACAUUAUUCUGAAGAUCAAGGGAAUCUAAGAUUCCUAAUACUCUGUCCUGAGAUGCCAAAGAGGAUCAUGAAGGACCAAUACUCAGAACCUCAAAGAUCAGAGGAAGACGGGGUAAACUAUGGGGCAGAAGUCACCACAAAACUUUUUUUUGUAAGCGCAUGGAAACAAUCAGAAGGAAACAAAGCAAUCUAUGAAAGUAGCCUGUGGAAAUGAGAGGAUGCUAUACUAUAUCAUAACUUAAAGUCCAUUGCAUGAGAAAUUUAAGGUUUCCUAAAUUAUUUUUUCUUAUGCUAUACAUAUGGGGACUUUGGUGUUUAAAUUUGAAAUUUUUCAAUAUUAUUUUGAAAAGAUCAUGCAUAAGGGGAGGAAAUGUGAACUCCACAAAGAAGUACUUUCAGGAAUCAGGAGUUAUGAGUAAACUUUCUGCAGUAUGUGUUCUGUAAAUUUGAGCUCACUUUCCUCUGGGGUUGGUAUGUAGUUGUAGGAAUGUAUGUGACUUUUGGGGGAUAUAUUCUCUAUCAAGUUUUCUUACUAUACAAACUUAAAUCUGGCUAAUUGAUAUCAACAGUAAUCACAGGAACAAUCACAUCAAUGGGCCUACAUGAAUUAUCUCAUCAGAAAACCACCCCUAAGAUGCUUACAGUUAAUUCUAGAAUCCUAAAAGGGUGUGCAUACUAUUUACUCUCUGGCCAUCCAGCAUGCCAGAAAAAACAAUUGGGGGUUGGGAGAAUAGUAUCAGAGUAUAUCAUAUACAAUGGUCUGAUAAUCUCUAUCAGGAGACUAACCCUUGAAGAGGAGCCCCUGUUACAGUCAUUCCCUAAAACUUUCCUAAAGAAGGAUAGGCAAAUCAAAAAAAUUUUUCAAUUACUAUUGGCCCUGCUCCUGAGAUGUAUGACCAGUUCCUCUGAGCAAAUUUCCAUAGCCAUGAAAAAACUUUAGAUGUACACCAACUUUUGUUCAGCUUCUAACAUGUAGCUAUAUAAGCAGAUCAUUAAGUUAGUCCAUAAUUUUACAGACAGGUAUAGUGCUGUUCAGCUGAUUUUAGUCUAGUCUGCCUCGAUCCCUUUGAAGUCUUCUGGGCAGAGACACUGGAGAGGUUGAUCAUUUCCUUUUCUAGCUUAUUUUACAGGUACGGAAACUGAAACAAACAGGGAUAGGUUACUUUUCUAGGAUCAUGUACCAAACCUCUCAGACCAGGUUUGAAGAUGUCUUCCCACCUCCAGUUGCAGCAAUAUCCACUGCACCACCGAGCGCCCACAGGUAGGAAUACGUCUGGAAAACUAACAUCCUUUUAAGAGAUUCCAAAAUACUCCGUGAUGCAAACUUUCUCACCAUUUUAAAAAAUACUAAUAUUCUCAGUUUUGCUAAGUGACCACGAAUCACAGAAUACUGUGAUCAGAAUUACCAGUGAUCCAAGAACCUAGGAAAACAUAUAUGAAAGUUGUAAAAGGAAAUGGUAUAUCAUUGAUUUUAGCUCAAAAUACUUAACAAAUUGAAGAUGACUAAAGAAAUUAUGGCAUAAUAAUAUUACAGAUUUCUUAAAGAAUUACAAAUGUGAAUUCAAAAAAUUAGAAGAUUUAAAUGACAUGAGGCUGAACACAACAGAACAGAAAUUGAUACAAUCACAAUAGUGUAAAUAAAGUUACCAUCGACAUUAUUAAACUACCCACCCUUUUCCCCAGUGAUACACUAGUAGGCCUAUACUCAAAGAUAGCAAAGAAAGAGGAAAGGAUCCAUACAUGAAGAAAAUCUUUGUAGAAGCUCUUUUUGUAGACACUGCACUGGAAAUUAAAGGAGUGUCUGCCAGUUGGAACAUAGCUGAACAAAUUAAGGUAUAGAAAUAUCAUAUUGGACACCAAUAAAUGAAGAAAGAUGGUUUCAGAGAAACCUGGGAAGGCUUGUAUGAACUAGUACAGAAUUCCUGCAGUGAGAAGAAGCAGAACAAUUAUCUUAUAUUUAUCUUAUCACUCUGAAAAAACAACUCUGAUAAAUGCAAUUUUCAACCAUGGAUUCCAGAGGCCUGAUGAAUGCUGCUCACCCCCUAACACAGAUUCUGCACUCAAGAUGCAGAAAGGGACAUUCAUUGUUGGACAAGGUCAAUUUGGAGUUAAUAAUUGAAAUGUCAAGAAACUAUUCAGAAUCACAGAAAACCUGGACAAAUGAGAGGAAUAAAAUAUUUCCAAACAAUUAGCACCAAGCAGUUUACCCUUCCUAAAAGGAAGAAAAUGAACCAAGUCAAUGGACUUGGUGGCUCACUGGAUAAAGGGCCCAGUUUGGGUUUUGGAGGACUUCCUGAGUUGAAAUCCAGACUCAGACACUAUGUGUGACCCUGCACAAAAUUAACCCUGUUUUGUGUUAGACUACCUGCCAUCUAGGGGAGGGGAUGGAAAGAAGGGAGAAGUUGGACCAGAAGGUUUUGCAUCGGUCAAUGUUGGAAAAUAUGCAUAUGUUUUGUAAAUAAAAAGCUAUUUUAAAAAAUAAAAAAGAUUAACCAUGUUUACCUCAUCUGUAAAUUGAUCUGCAGAAGGAAAUAGAGAACAAUUCCAGUAUCCCUGCCAAGAAAUCCCAAAUGGAGUCAGUAAAAAUCAGAUCCAGCUACAUAAAGGACUUCUUUCUAAGCAUUUCUGAUGAAAUCUCUGAUCAGCCUGAAUAAGAACUUUGAAAUACAAACAGCAGUCCAAAGAAAUCUAAACAAGUAAAUUUAUUUGAACAACAAGAAGCUGUAUGAUGUUGUAAAGGCUAACAUUCUAAUAAGAAGAGAUACAAAUGUUCUUUCAGAAUCUGUCUUUAAAAGGCAUUAAGUUAAAAGCAAAGGAAAAUUCAUUCUCUUAAGGGACAAAGGGAUAAAUAGAGACAUGUAAGAAAGGUAAAAGGAAGAAUACACUAAUAGAGAAGGGAAGAAAGAGAUGGAACUUGCAAUUUCUUAUAAUUGGGAUGCAUGAGUAAAAGAAGAUAAAAAUGUUGAGCAAGUGGGGAUGUAUGUAGCAUAGACAAACCUCUCUCUUAUCUUAAUGGGACAAAGGAGGAUUGAACAUUUUGAAACACCCUAUUACAAGAAUUAGCUCACUCCUAGCUGCUCACCUGCAGAAGGCCUGACUCCCCAGCAGCAAUCUCCAUAGAAACAGAUCGUUUGCCAUUCUCUCACUAUGGGAUUCUACUCUGGCCUCAAAUCCACAUCAUUAUAGCAACUGGAGUUUCUUGCAUCAUCUGGGGUGCCAGAAGUUCCAAGUGCUAAUUCUAGCUACAGUGUAUAUCCUUUGAUCUAGCAGUGUUUCUACUGGGUCUGGAUCUCAAAGAAAUCAUAAAAGAGGAAAAAGUUUCUAGUAGGUCUUUUGGUAAUGGUAAAGAACUGAAAAAUGAGUAGAUGCCCAUCAAUUGGGGGAUGGCUGAAUAAAUUAUGAAUAUUAUAUGAAAAUAAUGAAAUAUGAUCUAUAAAAACGAACAAGCUGAUUUUAGAAAGUCCUGGAAAGAUUUACACGUACUGAUGCUGAGCAAAACAAGCAAAAUCAGGAAAACAUCGUAUACAACAACAGCAAGAUUGUCUUGAGGAUCAACUAUGAGAGACUUGGUUCUUCCCAUCGGUUCAGUGAUUGAAAGCAAUUUCAAUAAACUUUUGAUGGAAAAAGACCUUCUGCAGACGGAGAGAACUAUAGAGACUGAAUGUAAAUCAACACAUGCAGUUUACUCUUUUUUUUCUUUCUGGUUUUUUUUUUUUUGUGUGUGUGUGUGUGUGUAUGUUCUCCUGGUUUUUCCCUUUUGUUCUGAUUUAUCUCUCCCAACAUGAUUCAUAUGGACAUACAUUUAAAAAGACUGUACAUGUAUAACUCAAAAAAAAAAAAGUUAUUUUACAUUUAACUAGGGAAAAUUAAAAAAAAAAAAAAGAAAGAAAGAAUAUGAUAGAGCUAAAAUACUCUGAAAAUUCAGCCUAGAUUAUUGAUAAAGGAAAUACCACAGGUGAUAAAUAUGAUGACUUAUACCAUGCCCAAUUUAUGUGCUUGGUUGUAGACUUGGAGAUGAAUAGUCGACACACGUUUUGUUUUAUGGGUUGCUGUAGUUGUGUGGUUUCUUUUUUUUUUGUUUUAAGAAUUGUCAUUUUUAUUAUGUUAGCUUGGCCUACCAAUGAGCAAUUGAUAUUUUCCCAGUUGUUUAGAUCUGACUUUAUUUGCAUGAGAAGUGCUUUGUAAUUUUUUUGUUUUUCUGUUUUUUAUUUUGAAAAAAAAAUUUCUUUACAACAUUAUCCCUUGCACUCACUUCUGUUGUGACUUUUUCCCUCCCUCCACCCCCUCCCCCAGAUGACAAGCAGUUUUAUACAUGUUAAAUAUGUCACAGUAUAUCCUAAAUAGAAUAUAUGUGUGCAGAGUCGAACAGUUCUCUUGUUGCACAGGAAGAAUUGGAUUCAGAAGGUAAAAGUAACCCGGGAAGAAAACCAAAAAUGCCAACAGUUUACAUUCAUUUCCCAGUGUUCUUUCUUUUGGUGUAGCUGCUUCUGUCCAUCAUUGAUCAAUUGAAACUGUGUUAGAUCUUCUCUUUAUCGAAGAAAUCCACUUCCAAAAAUAUUAAGUGUUCUUGGAUAGGCCGAGUGAAUAUAAUAAAGAUGACAAUACUCCCUAAACUGAUCUAUUUAUUUUGUGCUAUACCAAUCAGACUCCCAAGAAAAUAUUUUAAUGAUCUAGAAAAAAUAACAAAAUUCAUAUGGAAGAACAAAAGGUUGAGAAUGUCAAAGGAAUUAAUGAAAAAAAAAAAUCAAAUGAAAGUGUCCUAGCUGUACCUGACCCAAAACUAUAUUAUAAAACAAUAGUAACCAAAACUAUUUGGUAUUGGCUAAGAAAUAGAUUAGUUGAUCAGUGGAAUAGGUUAGGUUCACAAGACAAAAUAGUCAACUAUAGCAACCUAGUGUUUGACAAAGCCAAAGAUCCUAACUUUGGGGGUAAAAAUUCAUUAUUUGACAAAAACUGCUGGGAAAACUGGAAAUUAAUAUGGCAGAAAUUAGGCAUGGACUCACACAUAAUACCGUAUACCAAGAUAAGAUCAAAAUGGGUGCAUGAUUUAGGCAUUAAAAAAACGAGAUUAUAAAUAAAUUAGAGGUACAUAGAGUAGUUUAACUCUCAGACUUGUGGAGGAGGAAGAAAUUUGUGACCAAAGAUAAACUAGAGAUCAUUACUGAUCACAAAAUAGAAAAUUUUGAUUACAUCAAAUUAAAAAGCCUUUUCUACAAACAAAACUCAUGCAAACAAGAUUAGAAGGGAAGCAACAAACUGGGAAAACAUAUUCACAGUUAAAGGUCCUGAUAAAGACCUCAUUUCCAAAAUAUUUAGAGAAUUGACUCUAAUUUAUAAGAAAUCAAGCCAUUCUCCAAUUGAUAAAUGGUCAAAGGAUAUGAACAGACAAUUUUCAGAUGAUGAAAUUGAAACUAUUACCACUCAUAUGAAAGAGUGUUCCAAAUCACCAUUGAUCAGAGAAAUGCAAAUUAAGACAACUCUGAGAUACCACUACACACAUGUCAUAUAGGCUAAGAUGAGAGGAAAAAAUAAUGAUGAAUGUUGGAGGGGAUGCGGGAAAACUGGGACACUGAUGCAUUGUUGUUGGAGUUGUGAACGAAUCCAACCAUUCUGGAGAGCAAUCUGGAAUUAUGCCCCAAAAGUUAUGAAACUGUGCAUACCCUUUGAUCCAGCAGUGUUACUUCUGGGCUUAUACCCCAAAGAGAUACUAAAGAAGGGAAAGGGACCUGUAUGAGCCAAAAUGUUUGUGGCAGCCCUGUUUGUAGUGGCUAGAAACCAGAAAAUGAAUGGAUGCCCAUCAAUUGGAGAAUGGCUGGGUAAAUUGUGGUAUAUGAACGUUAUGGAAUAUUAUUGUUCUGUAAGAAAUGACCAGCAGGAUGAAUACAGAGAGGCUUGGAGAGACUUACAUGAACUGAUGCUAAGUGAAAUGAGCAGAACCAGGAGAUCAUUAUACACUUCAACAACGAUACUGUAUGAAGAUGUAUUCUGAGGGAAGUGGGUUUCUUUGUUGCAUGUUUUCUAAAAGAACCUUGAAUAAAGGUAAAGCUGAAGUUUGCAAUAA